rnacentral:rRNA from 1 species
CGGAGGGUGCAAGCGUUAUCCGGAUUCACUGGGUUUAAAGGGUGCGUAGGAGGGCAGGUAAGUCAGUGGUGAAAUCUCCAAGCUUAACUUGGAAACUGCCGUUGAUACUAUCUGUCUUGAAUAUUGUGGAGGUGAGCGGAAUAUGUCAUGUAGCGGUGAAAUGCUUAGAUAUGACAUAGAACACCAAUUGCGAAGGCAGCUCGCUACACAUAUAUUGACUCUGAGGCACGAAAGCGUGGGGAUCAAACAGGAUUAGAUACCCUGGUAGUCCACGCCCUAAACGAUGGAUACUCGACAUACGCGAUACACUGUGUGUGUCUGAGCGAAAGCAUUAAGUAUCCCACCUGGGAAGUACGACCGCAAGGUUG